GGAGGGAUGGCCGAGUGGACGAAGGCGGCAGUCUUGAAAACUGCUGUGGCCGCAAGGUCACCGGGGGUUCGAAUCCCUCUCCCUCCGCCA
rnacentral:tRNA from 1 species